rnacentral:rRNA from 1 species
AUUAAACGCUGGCGGCAUGCCUUACACAUGCAAGUCGAACGGCAGCACGGGGUGGUAACACUCUGGUGGCGAGUGGCGGACGGGUGAGUAAAGCAUCGGAACGUGCCCUGGAAUGGGGGAUAACGUAGCGAAAGUUACGCUAAUACCGCAUAUUCUGUGAGCAGGAAAGCAGGGGAUCGCAAGACCUUGCGUUCGAGGAGCGGCCGAUGUCGGAUUAGCUAGUUGGUGGGGUAAAGGCCUACCAAGGCGACGAUCCGUAGCGGGUCUGAGAGGAUGAUCCGCCACACUGGGACUGAGACACAGCCCAGACUCCUACGGAGGCAGCAGUGGGGAAUUUUGGACAAUGGGCGCAAGCCUGAUCCAGCCAUGCCGCGUGAGUGAAGAA